UUAGCAGUUCUAUUCGUUGUCUAUUCUUGUGUAAAGAGUAAGAAAUGCAGGAACUACAAGAAUCCAGAGAUCCAGCGACUUCAACAGACCAUGUGCAAGGAUAUAAGCUGUGGAUUUGAACAAGUUUGUGAAAUCAAGAAUGUGCAGUGUGUAAGAGCACCAUGUCCUCCUUUAACCCAAUGUGUCCAAACAGGGGGAGCUUUGUCUAAAGGUGGUACUUGUCCUAAAGAAGACAACAAGAGUGCCUUUAAUGUGCAAUGCUUUGGAGAUUUCGGAUGUG